rnacentral:rRNA from 1 species
CAGUAGCCGCGGGAAUACGGAGGGUGCAAGCGUUAAUCGGAAUUACUGGGCGUAAAGUGCACGCAGGCGGUUUGUUAAGUCAGAUGUGAAAUCCCCGAGCUUAACUUGGGAACUGCAUUUGAAACUGGCAAGCUAGAGUCUUGUAGAGGGGGGUAGAAUUCCAGGUGUAGCGGUGAAAUGCGUAGAGAUCUGGAGGAAUACCGGUGGCGAAGGCGGCCCCCUGGACAAAGACUGACGCUCAGGUGCGAAAGCGUGGGGAGCAAACAGGAUUAGAUACCCCUGUAGUCCCUGUCUCUUAUAU